GUGCCAGCCGCCGCGGUAAUACGGAGGGUGCAAGCGUUGUCCGGAAUCACUGGGCGUAAAGGGUGCGCAGGCGGGGCAGCAAGUCGGAGGUGAAAGCCCGUGGCUCAACCACAGAAGUGCCUUCGAAACUGUUGCUCUUGAGUCCCGGUGAGGUUGCAGGAAUUCGUGGUGUAGCGGUGAAAUGCGUAGAUAUCACGAGGAACACCAGAGGCGAGAGCGGGCAACUGGACGGGUACUGACGCUCAGGCACGAAAGCGCGGGGAGCAAACAGGAUUAGAAACCCGAGUAGUCC
rnacentral:rRNA from 1 species